ACGGGAGGCAGCAGUGGGGAAUAUUGCACAAUGGGGGAAACCCUGAUGCAGCGACGCCGCGUGAGUGAAGAAGUAUUUCGGUAUGUAAAGCUCUAUCAGCAGGGAAGAAAAUGACGGUACCUGACUAAGAAGCCCCGGCUAACUACGUGCCAGCAGCCGCGGUAAUACGUAGGGGGCAAGCGUUAUCCGGAUUUACUGGGUGUAAAGGGAGCGUAGACGGUAAUGCAAGUCAGAAGUGAAAGCCCAGGGCUCAACCGUGGGACUGCUUUUGAAACUGCAGUACUGGAGUGCAGGAGAGGUAAGUGGAAUUCCUAGUGUAGCGGUGAAAUGCGUAGAUAUUAGGAGGAACACCAGUGGCGAAGGCGGCUUACUGGACUGUAACUGACGUUGAGGCUCGAAAGCGUGGGGAGCAAACAGGAUUAGAUACCCUGGUA
rnacentral:rRNA from 1 species